rnacentral:rRNA from 1 species
CAAUAGCGUAUAUUAAAGUUGUUGCAGUUAAAAAGCUCGUAGUUGAAUUUUUGCUUGCCGCCGAUGUCGGAACUUCCGUACGUUCGGCGGCGUGCAUCCUUGGGUGGAACCUGUGUGGCAUUAGGUUGUCGUGCAGGGGAUGCUCAUCGUUUACUGUGAAAAAAUUAGAGUGUUCAAAGCAGGCUUACGCCGUUGAAUAUAUUAGCAUGGAAUAAUAAGAUAGGACCUUGGUACUAUUUUGUUGGUUUGCGCACCGAGGUAAUGAUUAACAGGGACAGUUGGGGGUAUUCGUAUUCCAUUGUCAGAGGUGAAAUUCUUGGAUUUCUGGAAGACGAACUACUGCGAAANCANNNACCAAGGAUGUUUNCAUNAA